GCAGUAUUAUCUCAGGGCAACAGUCUGACAAUAUAUACAUAGAGUCUUCUCAGGCUUGAGGCAUCACUGGCUUCAUGUUCAAUUUUACUAAUACAUUCAAGGGUAGGAUCAAAAACUUAUAUACAAUUUUUCUAGCUCUACUAGCAAUUCAAGUAAAAAUUUUAGAUUUAAGAAAGUCAUGGAAGAAAAAUCUUUCAAGGUGCAACUUUUAAAGCAAAACUCUAUUACAUGUACUUUCAAGAUGUUAGUGAUGCCUACUGCACAGAAAUCCUACUUUAGGUCACUGGCAAUCUCAUGGAUACAAUGAAAAAGAUAAAAAAAGUGCUAAGAAAUUGAUGUCUUUCUGCUUGAAGUUUCCUGGAGGGUGAUAGCUGGGAAAGCUCUU
rnacentral:lncRNA from 1 species